rnacentral:misc_RNA from 1 species
CUCACAUUCGCUAGCCCAAGCGCCCUCGCUCUUUCUCUCUCUGUCUCUCUCCAUGCUAGUCGCCUCCUUGGUGGUAUGACCAACUGUGCACGUCCAUGAUUCUCUCGUAAGCUCUAAACCGCAGCUGCCCACUUGUGUGCAGCGAUCAGCGCCUUUUUCUUUCGCAAGUAACCGUCAGCAAACUCGUCACCCGCCUCCUCUCCGCACAGCAGGCAAAUCGGAGCAGGGUCUAACCCACACCUCCUCGUCACCAUUUCCUCACAGUUUUCUCACCGCGCUCGUCUCGUUAACCAUGUCGUCAGUCGUUGAUAUACCGUGCACGCGGAAGAACAACUCCUUCUUCUCAAAGGGAAAUCACCAGCACGAAGCCCCUGCCCCGCCCAUCAACGAGUCUAUGGUGCGAGAACGUCUCUCCGCGAACCUCCCCGACAACUUCAACUACCUUCGCAACACGCUAAAUACGGGCAGAGGUCGCCAGCUUCGCAGUCACCGGCCACACUCGCGCAGCAGCAGUAACACUUCCAACUCCGACAGAAACGCUACUCCUCCCGUCCGCGCAGGACGUAAUGGCACCGGCAAUGAGAGACGCAGCCGCCCCCCUCACACACACACACGCGCCUCCUCGAGCAGCUCCAGCUCCAGCCGCAGCAGCAGCUCCACGUCAAGCAACGGUGACGACAGCUACGCCUUCCACGCUCGGCUGGUCAAGGUUGGUUACAGCGCGCACGGUGGCGAGUCUGCGGCGCUGUCGCAGUGCUGCGACACGGUGCGCAAUACGCUGCAGCUGCUGGAGCGGGCGCAACUGCGCACCGGCGACGGCGACGGCGGCGACGGCUUCUUCUGGCUCGACCUGCACGGUGUGCCGCCGCCGGCAGAACUGCACGACGCGGGGAGCGGCGACGUUCCCAUGAGCGCGCUGUGGGCGGCGCUGGGACUGCAAGCGUCGACAGCGCACACACUCACAGCGGUGUGCGAACAGCGGCAAGCGCACCCGCGCCCUGCCCGCUCCUCGCUCGAUAACGUGUACGAGGAGGAGCUGGUCGGCCUCAGCUCUCCGGCUGACCGCGUGCUGCAGGUGGAGCCGGUGCAGGCGACGUCUGUAAAGCGCACAUCGAGGGGCGGCGUGGCCGAGCCGACGCACUACGUGGCGCUGGAGCUGGCCACGCUGCUGACAUCAGUGCAGGCGUCGGCGGCGAUGAGCGAGGCAGCAUGGGAAAGCGCGCUGCUCUCGCGAGCUUCCUCGGCCGCCGAGUUCGCCAACGAGCCUCUGAACGACUUGACCUGGACGGAGAGUUUUGCGCGCAGCAUCCGCGGCCUUCCUGCUGCUGCUGCUGCUGCUGCCGCCGCCAUGAGCCGGCACGCCUCCUCUGUCUCGUCUGCCAGCCUCCGCCAGGUCACGCAGGCGUCGCUGCACGGUCAGGAAAUGGCCGCGACGCCGCUCAUCACGUCCAUCUACGUCGUCUGCUUCCCCACGGGUUGUGUGACGUGGUGCCCCGCAAGCACGCUGGGACUCACCAGUGCCGACCGCCGUGCCCAGCGCAGCGCUCCAGCAGCGGAGGGGCAACGACGCCGGCGCCGAUCGCCGCACGACCCUCACGAGGACGCCGCAGCUGAACGCAGCCGCGACGAUGUGCUUUACGUGGACGGCGAUAACGGCGAGGAGGUGCAGUACGUAAAGUCGUGGGAGCAGCUGCAGGCCUCGGUGUUUAGUCGGCUGCGGUACAUGACUCAGCUGAGCAAGGGCACGGCCUCCCCCUCAUCACCGUACGCACGGCCUGCCGGUGCGUCGGGCGAGCUCUCGGCGCCACCGAUGAGCGCGUCCGCAGGUUCGGUGCUGUGCACGUCCAUUUUUGUGUCGCUGCUUCUCUCCUCCGUCUGCUACGCCUACCUGCCGAACACUGUCAUGUUUUUGGGCGAGGUGGACACCAUCGACUCCAUGCUGCCCCUUAUCGAACUGGAUUGCGAGAGCGACCAGGCGGAUGCCCUGCGCCGCGUGCUGCUGCUUCGCCGUCGCCUCGCAGUGCACAGGCGGCUGCUCUUCCAGAAGAUCUGCCUGUUGGAGGCGCUUGACCGGCCAACGAUGCACACAGUUGCGCGCUUCGUCCGGUCGCGCAAGUCGCCGGCGCGAACGGCACGCGAUUCUUCUGCUGGAAGUGUUGCAGAUCAGUUCAAGAGUGCGCAACAAGGUUCAGCAUCAGCAGGAGGGGGCGGAAGCAGCCUCAUCCACCACAUCCACAUGAUGGCACCGCCGUCCCUCAACGCGAUUCACAAGAGCAUCAUGGGCGUUCUGCACAACCUCGAAGCGGCGCGGACGGUGAUCGGGAAUACAACCCUCAUCUACACCUCGAAGGUGAACUUCACCAACUCCCGCACCAGCGAAACAGCCGACUACUACUCGUUGUUCUGCCAGUACGUCUUGCUCGUUCUGCUACCACUGACUAUUGUGGCCUCGCAUUGGGGCAUGAACUGCCCGGUGCCUUUUAUGAACGUGAAUGGCACAACACCAUUCUGGAGUAUUGUGGGCGUAAUAGCCUUCAUCAGCGUUGCCGGCACCAUCUUCCCCAUCUACGCUUACUUGACCCGGAAAAUCUACUUGAUAGCGUAACUGGGACACACGUCCUCUACAAGGCACUUGCGGCAAGCGAGAGAUCGAGAAAAGCGCAAAACAAAGGCGAAUGGGCUGCCGACGAGAGAAUGCGUGCUGCCAUCCCUUGCGCGCGUGCGCGUGUGCAGAGACUUUGCAGCCAACAAGUUUUGCACCCGAGUCGUCUUCGGUGUGGCGGUUGUAGUUGCUUCCUCGAUUACUGGUGCUGUGCCUUUGUUCUUCCCUAGCCGGGCUUGCGUGACCCGUCCCGCCUCCGCGACUCAUUAUCAUCAUUUCUCGGGUGAGCGUCUUGCCUCUCUUUUCCCUGGACCUGUUCGUUCGCUCCUUUUAGCUGCUGUGAUUUCUCUCACAUGCGCAUUGGUGUGUCUGCAGUGCUUGCGUCCGUGUGUGCGUGUGUGCGUGUGUGUGUGUUCUUGUCCAUCUCAUGUUUCCUGUAGUUUUAUUGUUUUGGGUGGGUCCUUGCAUUCGUUUUGGUGGGGUAGUGGUGGGAGUGGUGCAUUCUUUCUCGUGUGUGUCCUCCCCACAACUUCCGAAAAAGAGCUGUCCAGCCCGGUAAAGCGGCAUUGGCCCGCGUAUGUAUGCGUGUGUCUGGGAGGGGGAGGCCCUGCCGUCCCUCCAGCCCCACCCGCUUUUGUUUUACGUUUUUUUUUCCGUUUCGAAUGGUGGCCUCACUUGAAAGUGCAGUCUAACUUAAGAUUUAAGGCUUGAUUGCCUCCUCUAUGGUGUUUUGCCUGGUUGCGCCGAGUUGCUGGAGAGGAAGAGAG